UAGUGGAGUGGUAACCUGCCAUAAGCACGAUGGUCUUCAUGGAGUUCAGCAGGAUUGUGGGCAAGAACCUCAAGACUGAAUUCUAUGAGAGCAUCGACCGGCACAGUCCUCGUCUCCUCGAGUUAUUUGGAUCCAAGAGAGGGAAUGUUGGACAGUUGUUGACACAUAUUUUACAACAGACCAAUACUACAGAGCCAACUGAGUGUCAGAGGGCUUCCUAUCAUCCUGGGGACAACCCCACAGACUUCUUCAAAGCAGGCUUUGUA